CGAGCACGCGCGUGUGGCAUAUCAAUAAGCGGAGGAAAAGAAACUAACAAGGAUUCCCUUAGUAACGGCGAGUGAAGCGGGAAGAGCUCAAAUUUGAAAUCUUCAAGGUUCUACCUUGACGAAUUGUAGUUUAUAGAAGUGUUUUCUGUUAGUAGAGUGGCAAAAGUUCUUUGGAAUAGGACAUCAUAGAGGGUGAGAAUCCCGUAUUUGGUCAUUCUUUCUAGCUUUGUGAUACACUUUCAACGAGUCGGAUUGUUUGGGAAUGCAGUCCAAAAUGGGUGGUAAAUUUCAUCUAAAGCUAAAUAUUGGCGAGAGACCGAUAGCGAACAAGUACCGUGAGGGAAAGAUGAAAAGAACUUUGAAAAGAGAGUUAAACAGUACGUGAAAUUGUCAAAAGGGAAGCGUUUGACACCAGUGUUGUUUUUCCGAAAAUCAAUUAUGAAUGGCUUGAUUUUAAGUUUCAUGACCUUAAAAGCUUGUUUCUUAUUUUUCAUGUCUUUCGUAAUGCACUUUUCGGUUAACAAGUCAACAUCAAUUUCUUUUGUUGUAAAAGGGUAUGAGGAAGGUGGCUUUCUUUUCGGAGAAAGUGUUUAUAGCCUUGUGCCUCUGCAAUCGGAGAGAUUGAGGUCUGCAGCGUAGAUCCUUCGGGGUUAGAUACGUUUGUGCUAAGUUAUAGCUUUUCAUAGACAACUUGUUGACUAUGUUUAGUCUUGUAGCUUACUCGCUGACGCUAUUUUACCUACGCUUAGGAUGUUGAGCGCAUGUCUCUCUCU
rnacentral:rRNA from 1 species